AAAGAAAAAGAUUUUCCACUCAAAGAAUGAUGGAUAACACAGAGUACUUCCUAUUGAUGACGUCAUAACCAACUUUGAAAAAGUUUUGUUUGAAAGAAAAGGAUCUGAAGAAGGAGAAAGAUCUGUUUAGAUUCAGAUGGAUUAAUAGACUGUCAGACCUUUUGCCAUCACUUAAUUCUGUACUAUUAGUUCUGUAACACUGAGCCUAUAAGCUUUUGACUUGAUGGUUUAUCUAAUUUGAGAGAGCAGAGUCCAUGAUAUCAGUCUUUAAGCAUUUCAAGAUUAGCAAUACAGAAUAUGUACAGAUGUAAUAGCAGAUAAAAAUCCCACACAAACAGGACACUGAUAUAUAAAGUUAAUGGAAUUUAGAGAUAUUUCAUUUCUCUCUUGUGUGAAUU